rnacentral:lncRNA from 1 species
CCCGGAGCAGGGCGGGCAGCGCGGCCGGCGCCCUCCGGCCCUGCCGCCGACGGCUGUUCGGCAGCGCCGGCGCCGCGGGGCUGGAGCAGAGCAGUCUGAAGGGAAAAUCCAGUCUGAAAACCUUACCAAAAAUUAAAGAAAAUCUUGAAGUGACCCAAGCGACCCAUUCAUCCAAUCAAAGCACUCUAGUGCAUGUCAAAGGGGUGACCAACAUAGAAGAAACUGAAGAGAAAACAGGAGAAAGCACUGUACUGCUGAAGGAAUCUUCAGUAAUCAACUUUGAAAGUAAAGAAAGUWUGAAAAAUGCUGAAGUGACUUCAAGUACAGAAUUGACUCUUCCCACAGGUGUUUCAACCUUUCUACUAGAGUGUUUAGAUGUAGAUUCCACUGCAGACUAUAACACAGGCUCUAAUGACAGCAUGAACAAUUGCUCAUCCCCUGAAACAUUCAGAGAUGAAGAUAUUUCAGACAGAAGUAACCUUUUCUCUGAGGACUGUGUCAAAUAUAAGAACUCAACUCUCCUGGACUCCAGCAAAGCAAUGACCAUAGACAAGAUGCCACAGAUCUCAAAUCUGUCAGCAAUAUUAGAAAUAAACCAUCAAAAUGCAAUUACAGUUCUUCAGCAUUAAAUGUUUCAACUACUCUAGCAGGGAAACAAGUCUGUAAAAUUACAACUGCAAGAGAGAGAACUCCAGACCUAAAAGCUGGUAUGYGCUGUUCUUCACCGAUAGGACCAGAAAGAAAG